GCUACUCAGAAGAGGUGCAAAGUCAUCUACAGCUGUCUAUAUGCUAGCACCAUGCAGGUUUAGGUCUUCUAGUGAGGCUGUUAACAACCAUGGCAAAACACAGGAUGUGAAAUGGAAAACUAGGGACUGGACCCUGGAAAGGCCCCAUUCCCCAGGAGCAGUGAAUGCUUUCAAGAAACGUGGCAAAGUUGUGUCUCAGUAUCUUCUAUGUUUUGGAGAAAACUGCAGAUAUGACUGGAUCCUGCAGUUAGGGGCCCUGUAAUGCCUACAAAAGCAUUUUCAGAGGAUAACUUGGGCUUUAGGGAAUGGACACCUGCAUAAAACCAUCACAUUAGGAAACAAGGUUAAUGAAAUGAAAUGGGAAAUUUUGCAGAAUUUAUUUUGCCCUGGACUAUUU
rnacentral:lncRNA from 1 species